rnacentral:lncRNA from 1 species
GUGUCUUAUAUCCUCAAAAUCCUGUUAAUCAUGUCCAUUCUGAACCUUUCGGCCCCUCUAAGAUCUGCAACCUGAAAAAAGGCCUUUUAAUUAGCAGACAAUUGUAUUCUAGGUGCAUUAUGUGAAAGCUUGAUAUCAUGAUUCCUCUCCAAUGAUGGAUUGAACCCAUUUUGAAUUUUAUCAAGUUUCUGCAAUCCUUCAGUCAGUAAUACCACAUUCAUCUUUCUAUAUUUGAAGCUAACAAGUGGUAACCCAUGCUGCGUCUCACUCUCAUCUUCCUAUUUAAGAAAUAGCUGUUGUCAGUUACAAUUAAUGCUUCAGACGUGGUUGGAGAAAAAACAGGCA